AUUUGUUUCGAGAGCUGACUUUUCAGAUUGUGCUGUGUGCGCGCGCGCGUUUUGUUUGCAUACAUUUCAUUAUUUUUCGCACCUGUGACCUGCUCUGUACCAGAAGGCAUAAUGCGCGUGGCACCUACUACCCUACUCACAGCGCGCGAUUUUUAAACAACUACAAGGUCAGAGCAGCACUAAUGGUCUCCAGUUGAUAUAUUGGUGCUGACACUUUUGUGCCAUCCUUUACUUUCUUGAUAGGAGGUUGCUUCCUGUCCUGAAACAUAUAUUAAUAGCAAUUAGUGUGAGACAUAUAGCACAUCUGAUAUCACUACAUGGUCCUUUAAAUACUCCCUGACCAUAAAAUGACUGAGAGAAGAAAAGGGGGGAACUGGUGUACCGAAGAGGGGAGCCAGGGAGUGUACGUGUACCUGGCAGCCCUUUUGGAUUUUCGUAAAAUGACUCUCAUACAAAAAAUGGAUUUGCAGGUCAGGAUUUCUCAAGCAGUCUAUAUAUCUCAGCAUGAGAUACAGACACUCAACAGAUGAUUAAGCAAGCAAGAAAGGAAAUAAUAAAACAUCUCUUACGA